rnacentral:rRNA from 1 species
GAGGAAUAUUGGACAAUGGAGGAGACUCUGAUCCAGCCAUGCCGCGUGCAGGAAGACUGCCCUAUGGGUUGUAAACUGCUUUUAUACAGGAAGAAACACUAGUACGUGUACUAGCUUGACGGUACUGUAAGAAUAAGGACCGGCUAACUCCGUGCCAGCAGCCGCGGUAAUACGGGUCCGAGCGUUAUCCGGAAUCAUUGGGUUUAAAGGGUCCGCAGCGGUCGAUUAAGUCAGAGGUGAAAUCCCAUAGCUUAACUAUGGAACUGCCUUUGAUACUGGUUGACUUGAGUCAUAUGGAAGUAGAUAGAAUGUGUAGUGUAGCGGUGAAAUGCAUAGAUAUUACACAGAAUACCGAUUGCGAAGGCAGUCUACUACGUAUGUACUGACGCUCAUGGACGAAAGCGUGGGGAGCGAACAGGAUUAGAUACCCUGGUAGUCCACGCCGUAAACGAUGGACACUAGUUGUUGGGAUUUAUCUCAGUGACUAAGCGAAAGUGAUAAGUGUCCCACCUGGGGAGUACGAUCGCAA